rnacentral:misc_RNA from 1 species
ACAAACUUGGUCAUUUAGAGGAAGUAAAAGUCGUAACAAGGUUUCCGUAGGGUGAGUCUCUUGCCCGACUCUUAAACUAAAUGAAUGAAUGCUAACGUGACUAUAGUGAACCUGCGGAAGGAUCAUUACUGAGUUAGGGUCUUCCAGGCCCGACCUCCAACCCUUUAUCUACUUAACCUUCUGUUGCUUUGGCGAGCCCGUCUCUCGAAAUAUGGGGACCACCGGGGGUAUCUUCACUUCUGGUCCGUGCUCGUCGAUAGCCAAUCUUUUAAAAACUCUUGAUGAAAUGUGUUCUCUAAGUACAAGCAAAAAUUAAUUAAAACUUUCAACAACGGAUCUCUUGGUUCUGGCAUCGAUGAAGAACGCAGC